rnacentral:rRNA from 1 species
AGAGUUUGAUCCUGGCUCAGGAUGAACGCUAGCUACAGGCUUAACACAUGCAAGUCGAGGGGAAACGAUAUUGGAAGCUUGCUUCCGAUAGGCGUCGACCGGCGCACGGGUGAGUAACGCGUAUCCAACCUGCCCACCACUUAGGGAUAACCUUGCGAAAGUAAGACUAAUACCCAAUGAUAUCUCUAGAAGACAUCUGAAAGAGAUUAAAGAUUUAUCGGUGAUGGAUGGGGAUGCGUCUGAUUAGCUUGUUGGCGGGGUAACGGCCCACCAAGGCAACGAUCAGUAGGGGUUCUGAGAGGAAGGUCCCCCACAUUGGAACUGAGACACGGUCCAAACUCCUACGGGAGGCAGCAGUGAGGAAUAUUGGUCAAUGGACGAGAGUCUGAACCAGCCAAGUAGCGUGCAGGAAGACGGCCCUAUGGGUUGUAAACUGCUUUUAUAAGGGAAUAAAGUGAGAGUCGUGACUCUUUUUGCAUGUACCUUAUGAAUAAGGACCGGCUAAUUCCGUGCCAGCAGCCGCGGUAAUACGGAAGGUCCGGGCGUUAUCCGGAUUUAUUGGGUUUAAAGGGAGCGUAGGCCGGAGAUUAAGCGUGUUGUGAAAUGUAGACGCUCAACGUCUGCACUGCAGCGCGAACUGGUUUCCUUGAGUACGCACAAAGUGGGCGGAAUUCGUGGUGUAGCGGUGAAAUGCUUAGAUAUAACGAAGAACUCCGAUUGCGAAGGCAGCUCACUGGAGCGCAACUGACGCUGAAGCUCGAAAGUGCGGGUAUCGAACAGGAUUAGAUACCCUGGUAGUCCGCACGGUAAACGAUGGAUGCCCGCUGUUGGUCUGAAUAGGUCAGCGGCCAAGCGAAAGCAUUAAGCAUCCCACCUGGGGAGUACGCCGGCAACGGUGAAACUCAAAGGAAUUGACGGGGGCCCGCACAAGCGGAGGAACAUGUGGUUUAAUUCGAUGAUACGCGAGGAACCUUACCCGGGCUUGAAUUGCAGAGGAAGGAUUUGGAGACAAUGACGCCCUUCGGGGCCUCUGUGAAGGUGCUGCAUGGUUGUCGUCAGCUCGUGCCGUGAGGUGUCGGCUUAAGUGCCAUAACGAGCGCAACCCCUCUCCUUAGUUGCCAUCAGGUUAAGCUGGGCACUCUGGGGACACUGCCACCGUAAGGUGUGAGGAAGGUGGGGAUGACGUCAAAUCAGCACGGCCCUUACGUCCGGGGCUACAC